rnacentral:lncRNA from 1 species
GCUAAUGAACUUCCAUAACCAAACAACUUCUUUAUCAGCAUCAAAUAGCGCAAAAAACUUCGUAUCGCAAAUAAAACUAGCUACUGAAUACUGCAUGGAAUCUUUCCAGCAUGUCGCUCCCCUUUUAGGAUAAAAACAUAACCUAACACAACUUUGUCAUUUGAUCCAACUAAAAACUGAAAUCAAUAUUCCACAGAUU